AGCUAGUUCAAGGCCAGUCAUUAAUCCAAGAAGGAAUAUUGUAUGCAAAGAAGGAUGUUAACUGACGCAAAGAAGGAAUUUGAAGUACAAAAACGCUGGAAUAGCCCAGCUGGUUAGAUCGUGUGGCUGUUAACCACAAGAAGGAACGAACCUCCAUCUAGCAUUUCCUGCAAUUUCCAUGGCUGCCACACCUGAUCAUUUGUUAACACCCAAGAGAGUCUGUGCACAUCAAGAUAAUGAUUCUGUUGAUUCACCACCAAAAAAGUUACUCAAGCUGCAGACAGCACCCACUAAGAAUUCCACCGACAGCUGAUCUAAGAUUAACACUAGUAAUGUUAUCCGCCGACAGCAAAUUAUGUUACAAAAAUCUCAUUCUCUGCAACCUCUCCUUAUAUUACUGUUGGUUUGUGGAACUUGUCCACUGCACUCUAAAAUAUACAGCCUAGUCAAUUUAUGGUUCGUGAUUUAUCAAAACAGUUGAAAGAAUGAGCCAAGUUGGCCAUAGACGGACACAGUCACACAGGUAGUAUUAGAAGUAAUUAUUGUUCUUCACAGUCACACAGGUAGUAUUAGUAGUAGUUAUUGUUCUUCAAAUUUCACAUUUGACGUUUAUUCUGACGAUUGUUUGAAUCCAGUGUUCAGAUAAAAGAAACCAUGUUUGUAAAGUAAUGUUGCUAAGAUAUGAACAUUCUGAAAA